GAUGAACGCUAGCGGCAGGCCUAACACAUGCAAGUCGAGGGAGAAGCCUUUCGGGGCAGAAACCGGCGCACGGGUGCGUAACGCGUAUGCAACCUACCUUUCACAGGGGGAUAGCCCGAAGAAAUUUGGAUUAAUACCCCAUAAUAUUGUUGGAUGGCAUCAUUUGGCAAUUAAAACUGCGGUGGUGAAAGAUGGGCAUGCGUCCUAUUAGCUAGUUGGAGUGGUAACGGCACCCCAAGGCUACGAUAGGUAGGGGUCCUGAGAGGGAGAUCCCCCACACUGGUACUGAGACAGGGACCAGACUCCUACGGGGGGCAGCAGUGAGGAAUAUUGGUCAAUGGUCGGAAGACUGAACCAGCCAUGCCGCGUGCAGGAAGAAUGCCUUAUGGGUUGUAAACUGCUUUUAUAUGGGAAGAAUAAGGUGUACGUGUACAUUGAUGACG
rnacentral:rRNA from 1 species